rnacentral:rRNA from 1 species
UACGAAGGGGGGCUAGCGUUGCUCGGAAUCACUGGGCGUAAAGCGCACGUAGGCGGCUUUCUAAGUCAGGGGUGAAAUCCUGGAGCUCAACUCCAGAACUGCCUUUUGAUACUGGGCGACCUUGAGUCCGGGAGAGGUGAGUGGAACUGCGAGUGUAGAGGGUGAAAAUUCGUAGAUAUUCGCAAGAACACCAGUGGCGAAGGCGGCUCACUGGCCCGGUACUGACGCUGAGGUGCGAAAGCGUGGGGGAGCAAACAGG